UACGUAGGGUGCAAGCGUUGUCCGGAAUUAUUGGGCGUAAAGAGCUCGUAGGCGGUUUGUCGCGUCUGCUGUGAAAACCCGGGGCUCAACCCCGGGCCUGCAGUCGAUACGGGCAGACUAGAGUGCGGUAGGGGAGACUGGAAUUCCUGGUGUAGCGGUGAAAUGCGCAGAUAUCAGGAGGAACACCGGUGGCGAAGGCGGGUCUCUGGGCAUUACCUGACGCUGAGGAGCGAAAGUGUGGGGAGCGAACAGG
rnacentral:rRNA from 1 species